rnacentral:rRNA from 1 species
GACGAACGCUGGCGGCGUGCUUAACACAUGCAAGUCGAACGGAAAGGCCCUGCUUUUGUGGGGUGCUCGAGUGGCGAACGGGUGAGUAACACGUGAGUAACCUGCCCUUGACUUUGGGAUAACUUCAGGAAACUGGGGCUAAUACCGGAUAGGAGCUCCUGCUGCAUGGUGGGGGUUGGAAAGUUUCGGCGGUUGGGGAUGGACUCGCGGCUUAUCAGCUUGUUGGUGGGGUAGUGGCUUACCAAGGCUUUGACGGGUAGCCGGCCUGAGAGGGUGACCGGCCACCAUGGGACUGCGGUACGGACCAGACUCCUACGGGCGGCAGCAGUGGAGAAUAUUGCACAAUGGGCGGAAGCCUGAUGCAGCAGCGCCGCGUGCGGGAUGCCGGCCUUCGGGUUGUAAACCGCUUUCGCCUGUGCCGAAGCGUGAGUGACGGUAAUGGGUAAAGAAGCACCGGCUAACUACGUG